rnacentral:rRNA from 1 species
AUUGAACGCUGGCGGCAUGCCUUACACAUGCAAGUCGAACGGCAGCACGGGAGCAAUCCUGGUGGCGAAUGGCGAACGGGUGAGUAAAGUAUCGGAACGUGCCCAGUCGUGGGGGAUAACGUAGCGAAAGUUACGCUAAUACCGCAUACGAUCUAUGGAUGAAAGCGGGGGAUCGCAAGACCUCGCGCGAUUGGAGCGGCCGAUAUCAGAUUAGGUAGUUGGUGGGGUAAAGGCUCACCAAGCCGACGAUCCGUAGCUGGUCUGAGAGGACGACCAGCCACACUGGGACUGAGACACGGCCCAGACUCCUACGGGAGGCAGCAGUGGGGAAUUUUGGACAAUGGGCGAAAGCCUGAUCCAGCCAUGCCGCGUGCAGGAUGAAGGCCUUCGGGUUGUAAACUGCUUUUGUACGGAACGAAAAGGUUUGGGCUAAUAAGCUGAGCUCAUGACGGUACCGUAAGAAUAAGCACCGGCUAACUACGUGCCAGCAGCCGCCGCGG